UGGGUUGUAACUCAGUGGUAGAGUGCUUGCCUAGCAUGUGUGAGGCACUGGGUUCAAUCCUCAGCACCACAU
rnacentral:tRNA from 1 species